rnacentral:rRNA from 1 species
GUUUAACGCGAAAGGCACCUUACCAGGUCUUGACAUCCGGGUCUCGAGAACCCUAGAGAUAGGGCUUUCCCUUCGGGGACAGAGUGACAGGUGGUGCAUGGUUGUCGUCAGCUCGUGUCGUGAGAUGUUGGGUUAAGUCCCGCAACGAGCGCAACCCUUGAUCUUAGUUGCCAGCAUUCAGUUGGGCACUCUAAGGUGACUGCCGGUGACAAACCGGAGGAAGGUGGGGAUGACGUCAAAUCAUCAUGCCCCUUAUGACCUGGGCUACACACGUGCUACAAUGGACAGAACAAAGGGCUGCAAGACCGCAAGGUUUAGCCAAUCCCAUAAAUCUGUUCUCAGUUCGGAUCGCAGUCUGCAACUCGACUGCGUGAAGCUGGAAUCGCUAGUAAUCGCGGAUCAGCAUGCCGCGGUUGAAUACGUUCCCGGGCCUGUUAACACACCGAG